rnacentral:rRNA from 1 species
CCUACGGGAGGCAGCAGUGAGGAAUAUUGGUCAAUGGCCGGAAGGCUGAACCAGCCAUGCCGCGUGAAGGUCAGUGCCCUAUGGGCGUUAAACUUCUUUUGUGCGGGAGCAAUAAUGGUCACGUGUGGCCAGACGAGAGUACCGUACGAAUAAGCAUCGGCUAACUCCGUGCCAGCAGCCGCGGUAAUACGGGGGAUGCAAGCGUUAUCCGGAUUUAUUGGGUUUAAAGGGAGCGUAGGUGGAUUGUUAAGUCAGUUGUGAAAGUUUGCGGCUCAACCGUAAAAUUGCAGUUGAAACUGGCAGUCUUGAGUACAGUAGAGGUGGGCGGAAUUCGUGGUGUAGCGGUGAAAUGCUUAGAUAUCACGAAGAACUCCGAUUGCGAAGGCAGCUCACUGGACUGCAACUGACACUGAGGCUCGAAAGUGUGGGUAUCAAACAGGAUUAGAUACCCGGGUAGUC